GUUUCUAUUGAUGUAUAUCUAUCAAUGGUCAAUGUUCAAGUAUCAGGUACUCUUCUCUUGAGUUCGUCGCCAUCUGAUAAAUGAUGUCGGAGUGUUUUCGGUGAAACUCGAAGCUGCAACUCCUUCUCAUAUAGAUCUUGUUCCAACUGGAGCCUCUCAAGGUGUUGAUGCAGUUCUGCCUGAGCUCUGUCUAUAUGCUUCACUGUUACUAGGUGGUCAAGGAUCCUCCUUACAUGGACAGAAGGAUAUCGGUUCACCCAGAUUCGUGGAUGAUUGAGGAUAGGUCAGUCUCAACUCUUCUGCUUCUACAACUGGUGGUUCAAGGCAAUGUAACAUUUUCCAGCCCUUUUUUUUGGUGAAGGUUUUGGAUAGCUAGAACUUUAUUUCUAGCUUUUAUUUGCAUAGUUGUAAUGUCUCCUUCCGAGCGUAUUCUUAAUUUAUCUUUAUUGUGCUGGUGUUUUCGGAUGAUUGUAAUUUCGUAUUUAUUCGCAUCUCUCCUUUCAUGUUGGGUUUUUACUGA